AAAAGAAAAAAUAGGGUUUUGAUAAUUAUUUGGGACUGGAAGAGUUUUAAAAGUGUGUAUAAUAUAUGAUUUAAAAAUAAAAUUAAGAGGUAAGCAUCAUUAAGGUCAUCUGCAAAAGUGAUAAGAAAACAAUUAAAAUAUCAGAAUAUACCUCACUUGCAAUUAGAUUUAAAUGCUAAAAGUUACAUAAGAGUGAGUUAAUAUCUGACUACUAACAUUAAUUUCAUGAGUUUUUUUUGUCUGCACAAAAAUCAAGGAGAAAGCAAGAGAGAGAAUGACAACUUUAUGUAAGUAAGUAAGUAAGUAUGUGAACAUGCAUAUGCAAUCUCAGUUACUGUUUCUGAUUUUUCAUGGGCGUGUCUGCUACAUAAACUGUGCGAAGAAGAUGGAAAAUCAACUCAUCAUAGAUACCAGGACUAAAUUUUGUAUAUACGCCAGACGCGCGUUUCGUCUACAAACAAAAGAGUGAAGCUGACGCCAAAAAAAAGGGCAAAAUAAAGUAAGAACUUGAAGAGCAUUAAGGACCAAAAUUCCUAAAAAUUCCUGGAAGUUAACGGUUUCGCUGAUCGGUUGACGGAAUGUUACGGAAAUAGCGGAAACUGUCGAAGUGAUAAUCACAAUAAUGACUCCCUGUUGUUUCCAGGAGAUGGCAAAAUGGCCGGCAUAACAAUGUUAAACAUCCAUAAGGAUAGGAAUUUGGGCGGUACAUGUUGAUCAAUGGAGCGGUCAGUUAAGGAAUAAUGUUAAAUGGAAUGGAUGGACA
rnacentral:lncRNA from 1 species